rnacentral:antisense_RNA from 1 species
AACAUUCUGAAUAUAACUAACUUCCUUCCUUCCUUCCUUUCUUCCUUCCUUCCAUCCUUCCUCCCUCCCUCCCUCCCUGCUUUCCCUUCCUCCCUGCCUUCCUUCUUCCUUCCUCUCUUUUUUCUUUUCUCCCUUCCUUCCUUCUUAAUAUGUUUUUGGCCUUUUCUUUAUAUAUGUGGCCUAUCAAUAUCAUGUGUUUGGAAAAGCAUAAACUUAAGGCAUCACCUUUACAGAAAAUAUCUUCCAUGGAAACAUCUAAAGGCAAAAAUCCUUCAAAUUCAAAUUUAUCCAAUCAUUUCUUCUGCUUACUACCAUCCUAAAUCAUUUUUCUUUAGUAAGAUCUAUUAGUGUGAAGCUAUUAAGCUAUUAAUGUAAGUAUCAUAUUAAUGUAUUAAGAUAUUAAGGCCACAGAUCAGCCCUGGGGUUCAGAGGGAUCCUGACGGCUACUCCUCAAGAUCCUCUCUGUUGUGAUUCAUCCCCCCCAGGCCCUACAGUUUCUCCUUCCUGACUCUUACAUUUCUUUGGAUGGCAUCACUAUUUACCUGUCUCCUCCCAUAGUUAGUUGCCAAGCACUGUGGAUUCUACCCCUCAGGGUCCAGACACCCAUUUUCCUUCCCACUGUUCCCUCCCCAUGGAGAAGCCUGUGGCUGACUGACAGCUCAACUUGGAGAAGGUGUUACCUGGGCCAGGUGGGGAAGGUAGGGUUGUUUGCAGAGCAAAGAAGUGAAGGAAGUAUUAACCCUUUGCAUGGCCUCCUGAGAAUCUGACAAGACGUAAAUAGCCAAGAAUAUCUGUGGAACUUAAUCAGUGAGUUACAAUAUUUAUCACUGCAAGUGUGUUGUUCAUUGACACUAUAAAGCCAUAUGGAAUUAAGCAGCCUUGAAACACAAAAUGGAGAAAGGCUAAGAGCUGAGA